UCUGUGCCUCUGUGUGUGUGUUCAGCGUAUGUUUGUGUAUGUGUGUGUGUUCAUUGAGUAUAUGCAUGUGUGUGGAUCUGUCUAUGUGCAUAUGUGUGUGUUCAGUGUGUGUGUGUGUGUGUGUGUGUGUGUGUGUGUGUGCUUCAUCUUUUAGUCUGUCUCCAUUGAGAGCAUUUUUCUCCAUUGAGCGUCUGCAGCGUGAGUGAUCUGUGUGUGUGUGUGUGUGUGUGAGAUGUAUAGAUGAUGGAUCUGCACUGGUGUAACAGGAUCAUCUCUCAGCCGCUGCAGGACUCAUCUGCUUUAUUCAUCUGCUUUGUGUCUUUAAUCCUGUUUGUGCUUUUCAGCCGGAGAACGAGGACAAAUCAAUAACAUACGACAACAUCGGAGCCAACGUGUGUAUGGGAGACCACAAGCCGGUCUACUUGUUCUUUCGGUUAACCACAGGUCCAGGUAAACCUAAUGCAAAUAAGCACAAGUGUUGUGUCGUGCAGUGAUGUGGAAAAUGGUGCCAAAGGGUGGAGAAGAUUUCAUGAAAAGCGGCCCUGUGAGAAGCUCCGACACUGGUGGAUGGACACACACACACACACACACACACACACACACACACACACACACACACACACACCCUGUAAAGACUUUUCAGCAGGACUGAGCAGUCGCGUUUGUUGCAGUGCAUACCAUCAUGUACAUAGAAACCACACACUGAGUUCAUCAAUGCUUCAAGAGUCGAGAUCGUGGACACACACACACACACACACACACACACACACACACACACACACACAUUCUUACAAACACACACAUACACUUAUACAAACACAUACACACACAUUCUCCUUCAAACACACACACACUGAUGCAUAGACUCUUCUACAAAUACACACAUACUGACACACACUCUAACAAACAAACACACACAUACUGACACACUUUUACAAACACACACACACAAACACAUACACUCUUACAAACACACACAUACACACACACACACACACUGGCACACAAUCUUACAAACACGCACACAUAAUACUCUCUUGCAAACACACACAUACUGAGACAUACACUUGGACCAACACACAAUUGCACACGCACAAUCAAACACACACUCUCAAACACACGCAUACACUCACAAGCACACACUUAUACACUCUGUUUCAAACACACACACAGACACUGUCUUACAAACACACACACUCAGACACACUCACAGACACACACACACUCAAACACACAGAUACACACACACAGCCAGAUCAGCUGCUGUUCUCUCCGCCUUGUCUCCAGAUCUCUCCAGGUCAUCAGAGAUCCUCCACAGGUUCUGAAGUGUGUUAGACGGCGAGCUCCUUCCCUCAGUGUGUCAGAUGUGUUAACAGUGCAAUGCAGAACCCCUCAGAUACGGCUGUGUUCCUCUAGCGUUUGCUUUAUUUCUACAUGAUGCCAUAGAGGUGUGAUUUUAGUGCUUUGAUGGAGAUUUCUAGACGUUCUCUCUGCUAGAAUAGAUCGCUCUCUACAGUAUAGAUAUAUAUAGAUAGAUAUAUUCUGUUUGUAUGAUUUCCUCCUUCAUUGAAUAUUGUUUGAUUUAUUAUUAUUAUUAUUUUAUUUUUUGGAUUGUGUCGUAACACUCUGCCGUGCCGCAAACAACCGCCGAGUCUCAUUUUAUAUACUGUACUUUUUAAUAAUUUAUAAUUCCUACUAAAUCUAUUAUGCUGACGUAUAUAUAGAGAUACGGACGGCUGCUUCCAGUGUGACGAUUCUCAAAUCUUGGAUUAGUUAUACAGAUAUACAACCAUCAUCCUUAGCCGGAAGUACAUUUCAGCUAAUAUGAUUUAUGUAGACUUGAAGACAAAAUCAUCUGCUCUCCUGUCAGAUUUUAAUCAUUUAUCAAAUAUUUCCCAAAGUGAUGAAGACAUUUCUAAUCAUAAUAGUGUUAAUAACUCAUCUCUAAUCACUGAUUUCUUUUAUCUUCGCCAUGAUGACAGCACAUAAUAUUAGACUAGAUAUUCUUCAAGACACUAGACUGUCAAACAUAUGUUAAUGAACAGUUUCUGUAUUCUAGUGUGUGUUUUGGGUUUAUUUGUGGUUGUGUAUUGCAUUAUAGGCUGUUGAUCUCGGCUCUGUCCACUUUUGAUGUUGUAAAUUCAUGUAGAUAAGUAUUUGGAAAUACUUUUAUUGACAUUUUAGUCGUUUAAUAUUCAUUUAUUCAUUUUCUUUUCGGCUUAGUCACUUUAUUAAUCAGGGGUCACCACAGAGAAAUGAACUGCCAACUUAUCCAGCACAUGUUUUACGCAGUGGAUGCCCUUCCAGGUGCAACCCAUCACUGGGAAACACCCAUACACUCCCAUACACACUCAUACACUACGGACAAUUUAGCCUACCCAAUUCACCUCUUCUGCAUGUGUUUGGACUGUGGGGGAAACCGGAGGACCCGGAGGAAACCCACACCAACACGGGGAGAACAUGCAAACUCCACACAGAAACGCCAACUGACCCAGCCGAGGCUCGAACCAGCGACCUUCUUGCUGUGAGGCGACAGCACUACCCACUGCGCCACUGUGUCGCAUCGUUUAAUAUAAGAAAUAAUAUCUAAAGAAAUAAGUCUGAAAAUGUGCUGGCAGGGUAACACUUUAGAAUAAUUAUACACUAUGAAGCGUCUAUUAAGCAUUAGCAAGUAGUCAAUUCAUUAUCUCUUAAGUAUUACCUCUAUUAUUAACUCUAUUAAUAGACGUUAGUAAGCGGUGUAUAAAUGCAAAUGCUCUAUUAUUGACUUAAAAGCACAUAUAUUGUUCUUAAUGAUUGUGUUUUCAUACUUUUUAAUUAUUAUUUUGUCAUUAAUUAUCACAUUAUUUGAGAGAAGGUGUUGGUUUUUAAAGAUUAUUCAGAAUGUGUAGAUAAAGGAUUAAUAAAGUAUUGAAAUUAACAUUUAAAUAUCUGAUUAUUCAGGCAUAUAUUAAUAAUUACUCUGUAUGUUGAUAAAUACUUCAUUAACUCAACGUCGUCCUGUUUUGUGACCUAAACUGAGUACUAUUAAUGCUUUAUAAAUCACUUAUAAAUGACCAUUAAAGGCUCUAAAGUUAUACUCUAAACAAGGAAAAAGCUAAAUAAAUGACUUUAAUUCAUUUCUGUUAUUUUGAAGAUACACAAAUUAAACCGUGUCAAAUGAAAAUCUUUGCAAUCUUAUGUAAAGUAAAGCCUACUGUACAGUUUAAACAUCGCUAAAUAACACUGAAAUGUUGCAUUAUAGUAUAUUAAAUUAUUAUAUUGUUAUUUUAUCCAAUUGUAGUUAUAUUUUGACGCUCCUGUCAUUCUCCAAUGCUUAAACUAUACAAUAAAUUUACUUUUGAGAUAAAAUUGUAAAGAUUUAUUGAUCAUUUGAUACUGAGUCUUUAAUUGUCAUUGAUUAGGGAUUUAUAUUGCAUUAAUAGUACUCACUUUAGAUUAGGUCUCAACUGGAUGAAGUUGAGUUAAUAAAGCGUUUUUUAGCAGACGAUACAGAAAAUUUUGUUUAGAAUAGUUAUUAAUCAUUUACUAACUCAUUCUGAACGAUCUUAAAAACCAGCAACUAUUCUUAAAUACAAAUGCUUUGUAAAUAAUGCAAUACUUUAGCCAUGAAGAAUAAAUCAGUAACAAAGUAUGAAAAUACAAUAAUUAGGCCCAUUAUACAUGUGCUUAGGUCAAGAGUACAGCAGUUGUAUUAUAUAUUUAUAAACUGCUUACUAACAUCUAUUAAUGUAGAGUUAAUGCUUAACAGAUUUUCUGGACACUCAAAGCGCUUUACACAAUGCGGGGGGAAUCUCCUCAUCCACCACCAGUGUGCAUCAUCCACCUGGAUGAUGCGACAGCCGCCAUAUUGCGCCAGACCACACACCAGCUGAUUGGUGGAGAGGAGACAGAAUGAUGAAGCCAGUUAUGAUAUGGGGAUGUUUAGGAGGCCAUGAUGGACAGAGGCCAGUGGGCAGAUUUGGCCAGUACACCGGGGUAAACCCCUAAUCUUUUUCUAAGGACAUUAUUAAUGACCACAGAGAGACCUCGGUUUAACGUCUCAUCCGAUAGACGAUAGAGUCCCCAUCAAUAUACUGGGGCAUUAGGACCCACACAGACCACAGGUUGAGCGCCCCCUGCUGGCCUCACUAACACUACUGCCGGCAGCAACCCAUGUUUCAAUGUGGUCUCCUAUCCAGGAGACUGACCAGGCUCAGCCCUGCUUAGCUUCAGUGGGCGACCAUGUGAGAGUUGCAGAGAGCUAGCUGUCUGCUUAAUAGAUGAUUGAUAGUGUGUAUUUAUUAUAAAGUGUUACCCACACAUGUUCAGAAAAGUCAGUUUUUACAACUUUUCAAGGUUAAAAUUAGUUUGAAGGAAGAUCAAGAUCCCAUAAUGCAACUCAAAAUAAACAAUACAAACCACAUCAUAUGAUAACCUUAACUGCUAAUUUACAGAUAUUGCAAUUUAUAGACUUAAAGGUGCAGUAGGUGAUCUGACAAAAUGCUAAUCAUUAGCAUAAUAUCUUUAAAAUACAGUCCUUCCCCUGCCGUUCAAAGCCACGCCUCCUGAAAUCAUGAACGUGCACCGUAAAGAUGACCAUAGAGAACCCACUAGAUCAUGUCAGUUAGUAAACUCUACAGUACUUUAUAAUACUACAAUCCCCAAUGAGAAACUGUGUAAUAUGUGCAAUAUUUCAUACAUGUGAGGAUCGCCACUAAUGUAUGCUUAGUGUUUGGCCUGCGGCGUGCAGGAAUUACCCUUAUUACUGAGCCAUACUGACAUGCUAUAUCAGAGUGAAUAUUCAGAGUAGCGGUGAACAAUAUAGGGAGCGCGUCACAGGCUGUCAUUGUUCAGAAAUGACCCAUUGUGAAUAGAAAAGCAUCUUCAGCUCAGUAAAGCAGGCUAGGCGGAAUAGUGCUAUUCACUGAUGUUCUGUUGUUAAACUGAAUAUAAAUCUACAUUAUCAAUGCUGUAAAAGACCCUUAUGAACCUGAAAAUAGUCACAUCAGUCUAUCACCGGGAGAUUUCAGAGGCUGAACAACACUUCUGUGCAGAUAACCCAUUCAUAACAACCCAAUCUACAUCAGCUCUGCAAGACUAAAAUAGUUUUAAACAGAACAUGAAUAGAGAAGACUUUAGCCAUGGUGUUAUCCUUCCUCCAGCGGGCAAAACUCACUCCAAUAUUGAUUCAGGAGUUUAUAAAGUUCUCAUCUCUCGGGAUGAGAAUCAGCACCUCCAAGUCCGAGGCCUUGGUGCUCCACCGGAAAAAGGUGGUUUGCCAUCUCCAGGUUGGAGGAAAGUCCUUACCCCAGGUGGAGGAGUUCAAGUAUCUCUGGGUUUUGUUCAUGAGUGAGGGAAGGAUGGAGUGUGAGAUUGACAGGCGGAUUG